rnacentral:rRNA from 1 species
GACGAACGCUGGCGGCGUGCCUAAUACAUGCAAGUAGAACGCACAGUUUAUACCGUAGCUUGCUACACCAUAGACUGUGAGUUGCGAACGGGUGAGUAACGCGUAGGUAACCUGCCUGGUAGCGGGGGAUAACUAUUGGAAACGAUAGCUAAUACCGCAUAAUAUUGAUUAUUGCAUGAUAAUUAAUUGAAAGGUGCAAUUGCACCACUACCAGAUGGACCUGCGUUGUAUUAGCUAGUAGGUGAGGUAACGGCUCACCUAGGCGACGAUACAUAGCCGACCUGAGAGGGUGAACGGCCACACUUGGACUGAGACACGGCCCAGACUCCUACGGGAGGCAGCAGUAGGGAAUCUUCGGCAAUGGACGGAAGUCUGACCGAGCAACGCCGCGUGAGUGAAGAAGGUUUUCGGAUCGUAAAGCUCUGUUGUAAGAGAAGAACGGGUGUGAGAGUGGAAAGUUCACACUGUGACGGUAGCUUACCAGAAAGGGACGGCUAACUACGUG